CGCAAGCCUGACGGAGCCAGACCGCGUGAGGGAAGAAAGCCUUUGGGUUGUAAACCUCUUUUCUCAGGGAAGAAACCUGACGGUACUUGAGGAAUCAGCAUCGGCUAACUCCGUGCCAGCAGCCGCGGUAAUACGGAGGAUGCAAGCGUUAUCCGGAAUCAUUGGGCGUAAAGCGUCCGCAGGUGGCGUAUCAAGUCUGCUGUCAAAGACUAGAGCUUAACUCUGGAAAGGCAGUGGAAACUGGUAGGCUAGAGUACGGUAGGGGUAGAGGGAAUUCCCAGUGUAGCGGUGAAAUGCGUAGAUAUUGGGAAGAACACCAGUGGCGAAGGCGCUCUACUGGGCCGCGACUGACGCUGAGGGACGAAAGCUAGGGGAGCG
rnacentral:rRNA from 1 species